AGGUAUAUGGGACUAGGGGAGAUUAUGUGUUCGGCACGGACUAGAAGGGUCGAGAUGGCCUGUUUCCGUGCUGUAAUGGUUAUAUGGAGAGAAGGCGACUAGGAGCAAGUGCCAAUGGUAAUUGCAGAACGCGACACCUGUAUGCCAAGAAAUCUCUGGUAAUGAAGCCUAUCUUUGUCACAGGACAGAAGUCACACCUAAGUCAACACUGGACAAAAUGAGGAAUAAACAUACAGGGGAGGAACAGAAGCAUUAGAACCCUACCAUGGAUUGGCACUCGGAAACCAAGGAAUCACAACUGACCAGAAGUAGCUGGAGCUAACGUCGAUGGGGAACCAAGCUGGUCUCCUCUUCGCAGUGUCAUUGGAUUCACCAUUAGAGCAAAGCCAGAAGGAAAAUGGCAAAUAGCCUAACCAGCUCUGGGAGGACUCUGCUAGCAAGGCAGAAUCUCCAGGAAUGAUGCAUUUUUUUGAUUGAAGAUGGAGCCAUCACCAAUUCAACACCGAACUAAAGACAGCACCAGUGAUAACGGGGAGGAAAAGACCCAGCCAGGACCAAACGAGAUCAUGAGCAUCACAACUGCGCUGCUUAUUAGUGGGAAACACAAGCGAGGAUGUUGAAGAGAUCAAUGUGUGCCAUCCAAGAGAAGAUUCGUCAGCUGGAGAGAAAAUGAAUAGGAGCAGGAGGCAAAGAGUUACGACAAAUGACCCACUUUCGUCAGCCAAGCGAGACGGUUAAAGAGAGUGUGCUGGGCCCUCAGGGAGCGAGGAAGACGGAUGGUGCCAUCCCAGAGAGGACUCGACAGCUGAAGACGGGCCCAUGGUGGGUUCCGGAGGUUUGCGAAGAUGGCCCCUCGGUGUGGGCCAGAGGUCGGAGGGAAGAUGAAGAGGAGCAUGUGCCAAUGUUAGUUGACAAUGCAGAAUGCGACACCUGUUUAAACCAGAAUCUGUAGUUCCUAUAUGUUAAGGCUUGUUCUUGUGUGAUGCUGUUUUAGCGAUGGAUCCAUAUAUUGUUUUGAGAUGGAUGCAAUGCCUCUUCAGUAGCUAUAACUUACAUGUUUUAAAUGGCUUGGGUAUUAAAUCGAGCAGGAGUUUGAGACUUUUGUAAUGGAUUGACUGAAGAACGAGUGAUGGAGAAUCUGAUGGAUCGCUUGAAGAAAGUUUACAAAAUUACCCCUGGUUUGAAGCUAAUGAUGUCACCUCGCUGUCGCACAAGCAAUAUAACUGAUCAGUGUAUGUUAACUUAAACAUAAUAGGAUGUCCGUGGAUUGUCAUGGUGGAGAUGGUUGUGUGGUCCUGCAAUCUUGAGAGCAAUGCCGUAUGGAGGUAUGCUACUGCUAUGGCCACCCGUGGUGGUAUGGUCGAAGGGGAGGUCCCUGCUAAGAACAAUUCAACCAAGACCUCAUUGGUGGAACAGGCGGAGGAUGAUGGCUGACUUUAGUGGAGUGUCACAACGGCUGGGAAGGCAGAUGAAGGCUGCAGCAGAAAAAGGUCCCCAGUCGUCUUGUACUCCAUGCCACUGGAUCCUGACCCAGAUCUGUCAAGGACCGUGCAGUAGCUGUGACCCAGGUUCGAUCCUGACUACGGGGGCUCUCUAUGGAAUUUGUUCGUUCUCCCCGUGACUUGUGUCGGUUUUCUGAGAUGUUCAGUUAACUCCCACACUCAAGGUGUACAGGUUUGUAGGUUAAUUGGGUACGGUAAAAUUAUAAAUUGCUCCAGUGCGUGAUAGUGUUACUGUGCGGGGAUCGUUAUUGUAUAGACUCGGUGAGCCGAAGGGCCUGUUUUUGUGCUGAAUCUCUAAACUAAACUAAUUCACUCUCUCUUGUGCCCUUGCCUCUGUCUCUGUCUCCGAUUUCACCAAUGGAUACGGAGGACCUCCACUCCCAGUAACCUUCCUCCUCAACCCUCCUAUGCUGUCUUGGGUAAGCAGAAGUUACCAGUCGUCUAUAUUGAUGGACCCGUGCUCUCAGAUCUUAGCUAUCAUGGACUUUCUGUGGGCCAAUGAGCUUAACAUGGCCAAUUUGCACACUGACAGUUGCCGUCUUGCCUGAGGAGAUCCAGAGCAUCUGCAAUCUUCCCUCGCUCAAUCCAAUAAAGCCUCUGCUGGGUUUGAUCCAGAGUACGAGGCAGUGCCCUAACCAUUAGAGAUUGAUGCCAUGUUGAAAAUAAUCUCAAGUAUUCUGAAAGGAAUGGAUGGAUCCUGCUUCUUAUUGCUCCCUCCAACAAGAUGGUGGUGGUACGCUUCAUCCUCCAGAUCACCGCUACAGCAGUCUGCAGUACCAUCGGGCAGCUCAUUAUGAUGAUGGUAGCUGGAAUCACCAGGACAAUGGUCCAGACUUCCAAUUUGUACAUUGACAUCAUUGAAACCGCCUUAUUGGGUUAAAGCACAGAAUGGAUUUAGAUGAAUGGAAAUAAUAUGAGUCCCUGAAUUCCAUCAUCACCAAAAAAGCAUACCAUUGUUUCUACUUCCUCAGGAUAUUUGACAUUAAUUUAAAGACUCUUACCAACAUCUGCAGUUGGAACUGUAGAAAACGUACUGCCGGGUUGUAUCACUACUUAGUUUGGGAACAGCUUUGCCCAAGACCACAAGAUAUUGCAGAGUUGUGGAUCUCUCCAGCACACGGGCCAGACUUCCCACCAUUAACUCCAUCUACACUUCGCUCUCUUGGGAAAGCAGCCAACAUAAUCAAAGACCUUUUCCACCCUUGUCAUUUCCACUAUUCCCUGCUUCCACCACAAAGAGGAUAUGAUAUAAAAGCCUGAAAGUGUAUACCUUCAGACUCAGGAACAGCUUCUUCCCCUGUUAUUUGAAUUCUGAAUGGUCCUUCCAGAAGCUAAGAUAACUUUCCUAAUUUCCAACCAACAUCAUUGUGAACAUUGGACUUUUUCUCAGAAACGAUUAUGCCACAAUGUUGAGAAACUGUAUGCUGCACUAUGCAUGUUUCUCCUCUCUCUACGUAAGGUGCUUGUGUAUGGCUUGAUUGUAUUUAUGUACAGUAUUACCUGAUUUAAUUCGAUAGUAUGCAAAUAAAAGCUUUUCACUGUAAAUCAGUGUACACAACAAUAAAGCAAUUUAAACUUGUUUUGUGUGCAACAGUAAAUGACUUCACAUUGCCCAUAUUAUAUUAUUUCUGUUGUGUUCUGGCCCACACACUCAGCUUGUUUCUAUCCCUUUAAAAACUCUUUACAUCUUUCUCACUGUUCAAACAUUUCCCAUGUUUUGUAUCAUCAGUAAAACUGGAAGUGCGAUAUUUGGCUGCCUCAUCCAACUAGUUGAAGAAGACCUGUGUUACCCCACCUAUUUACUCCCAAUCCUUGGUUUCAGCCUGUCAGCCAAUUCUCAAUAGCCAGCAGUAUACUACACUAAUCACAUACCUUCUGAAGUUCUAAAUGUACCACUGCCAUUGUCUAUUUAACCAACCAUAUCCUCAAAUAUCUUCAAAAAAAUUAACUAUGCACUUUUCUGGAUUAAAUUCCAUUAACUAUUGAUCAGACCAUUUGCCCAACUGAUUUAGAUCCUGCUGUUGUUUUUGAUAACAAUUUUCACUGUCUAUGAUACCACACACGUUAGUGCCAUCUGCAGACCUCCAGUCCCAAAAGGCCACGCCAUUACAACUUUGCUGCUUAAUUAGUCCAUUUUGAUCAUUUUAGCAAGUCUACGGCUGUCUUGUAAUCCCUUGGGAAAGCAGCCAACAUUUGUACUUUUUCAUUCCAUAACUUAGUUCAUCAGGCACCAUCUCCACCUCCCAAAAUAUUUGAGGAGAUUGGGCCAUUGUUUUGUGAUAAAUGGGAAUAUUUAGAAAUGCUAACAACAUCUUCGAAACUGCACAUUAUUAGUCUGAGGUUGAAACUGUUAGGUCGUUUGGCCCAUCAAGUCUACUCCGCCAUUCAAUCAUGGCUGAUCUAUCUCCCUCCUACCCCAUUCUGUCUUUUCCCCAUAA